rnacentral:rRNA from 1 species
UACAGAGGGUGCGAGCGUUAAUCGGAAUUACUGGGCGUAAAGCGUGCGUAGAUGGUUAUGUAAGUCGGAUGUGAAAGCCCCGGGCUCAACCUGGGAAUUGCAUUCGAGACUGCAUAGCUAGGAUGCGGAAGAGGGAAGCGGAAUUUCCGGUGUAGCGGUGAAAUGCGUAGAUAUCGGAAGGAACAUCAGUGGCGAAAGCGACUUCCUGGACCAGUACCGACGUUCAGGCACGAAAGCGUGGGGAGCAAACAGG